AAGUCGUAACAAGGUUUCCGUAGGUGAACCUGCGGAAGGAUCAUUAAUGAUUACGAAUGGUUGCCUUCUGUGCUGGCCAGAAACUGGCAAGUGCACGUCGGUGGCUUUCAUCCAAUACCCUGUGAACCUUUGGCCUCUUGCUAGCUUUGGCCGGCAGAGGAAUUUUACACAAACUCGAAUGUAAUGAAAUAUACUGUCGUGCGCAAGCACUAAUGUACAACUUUCAACAACGGAUCUCUUGGCUCUCGCAUCGAUGAAGAACGCAGCGAAAUGCGAUAAGUAAUGUGAAUUGCAGAAUUCAGUGAAUCAUCGAAUCUUUGAACGCACCUUGCACCCUUUGGCAUUCCGAAGGGUAUGCUCGUUUGAGUGUCAUUGUACUCUCACACUCCCGAUCUUUGGAUUGGGAGCGGUGGACUUGGGUGUUGCUGCUUACCGUGGCUCACCUCAAAUAAACUCGUGCAUCUCUUGGUUGGACAUAGUACGGCGUGAUAAGUGUCUUCGCCGGCGCCUCACUUCGAGGGUGGCCGAUCGGGAGCUCUGUGCUUCUAACCGUCUUCGGACAACAACUGACAACUUGACCUCAAAUCGAGUAGGACCACCCGCUGAACUUAA
rnacentral:rRNA from 1 species